UUUCCGUAGGUGAACCUGCGGAGGGAUCAUUCACAUAUAAUCUAUAUAAACGAACUGUGACUUAUACGAACUGACGUUCCCUGUAUAUUAUUCUCACACACAACCACACCACCAUUCUAUGCACAACAGAUAGCGUCCUCGUAUUUCAUUAUCUGCUUUCUGAUCUCAUUUUUUGUCAGACUAAACAUCCAUUCAAUAAUCUACUAAUACAUAUAACCAACUCUAUGCCCUUGAUACCUUGGUUCACGCAUCGAUGAACAACGCCGCCGACCGAAAACG
rnacentral:misc_RNA from 1 species